rnacentral:rRNA from 1 species
AGUGAACGCUGGCGGUAGGCCUAACACAUGCAAGUCGAACGGCAGCACAGUAAGAGCUUGCUCUUACGGGUGGCGAGUGGCGGACGGGUGAGGAAUACAUCGGAAUCUACUUUUUCGUGGGGGAUAACGUAGGGAAACUUACGCUAAUACCGCAUACGACCUACGGGUGAAAGCAGGGGAUCUUCGGACCUUGCGCGAUUGAAUGAGCCGAUGUCGGAUUAGCUAGUUGGCGUGGUAAAGGCCCACCAAGGCGACGAUCCGUAGCUGGUCUGAGAGGAUGAUCAGCCACACUGGAACUGAGACACGGUCCAGACUCCUACGGGAGGCAGCAGUGGGGAAUAUUGGACAAUGGGCGCAAGCCUGACCCAGCCAUACCGCGUGGGUGAAGAAGGCCUUCGGGUUGUAAAGCCCUUUUGUUGGGAAAGAAAAGCAGCAGGUUAAUACCCCGCUGUUCUGACGGUACCCAAAGAAUAAGCAACGGCUAACUUCGUG